rnacentral:lncRNA from 1 species
AACCACCGCAACCAAAGCCAAGGAGAAAAAGGCACCGCCCUAAGGUCAUUAAAGAAGGAAAACCCAAAAAAACUCCAAAGCCAGCUACCCCAAAGGCUGCUCAACCAAAAGAAAACGCAACUGGCAAGAGGAAGUAUGUAAGAAGAAAAGGAUUGGACAAAACUCCUACUCCUGCAACACAAGUGACAGAAGAAUUCACUGAAGAAAUACCUGAAGCAGCCAAAACGCCAUGUAGAAGGACCUUAAGUUUUGGCGCAGGAACAAAAGACCAGAGUUCUGCAGGCAGAGAAAAUACAACUGCACUUCU